rnacentral:rRNA from 1 species
UGGGGAAUUUUGCACAAUGGGGGAAACCCUGAUGCAGCGACGCCGCGUGAUUUAGAAGGCCUUCGGGUUGUAAAAAUCUUUUCUAUGGGAAGAAAAUGACAGUACCAUAGGAAUAAGGACCGGCUAAUUACGUGCCAGCAGCCGCGGUAAUACGUAAGGUCCGAGCGUUGUCCGGAAUCAUUGGGCGUAAAGGGUACGUAGGCGGGUAAGCAAGUUAGAAGUGAAAUCCUAUAGCUCAACUCUAGUAAGCUUUUAAAACUGCUCAUCUUGAGGUAUGGAAGGGAAAGUGGAAUUCCUAGUGUAGCGGUGAAAUGCGCAGAUAUUAGGAGGGAUACCGGUGGCGAAGGCGACUUUCUGGCCAUAACCUGACGCUGAGGUACGAAAGCGUGGGUAGCAAACAGG